rnacentral:rRNA from 1 species
AACAAACGCUGGCGGCGUGCCUAAUACAUGCAAGUCGAACGGGGAAAGCUUUCGGGUGAGUACUAGUGGCGCACGGGUGAGGAACGCGUGGAUAAUCUGCCUUAGAGUGGGGGAUAACUAGUCGAAAGAUUAGCUAAUACCGCAUAAGACCACAGGAGCUGCGGCUCAAGGGGUCAAAGGUUUUUCGCUCUAAGAUGAGUCCGCGUAAGAUUAGCUAGUUGGUGAGGUAACGGCUCACCAAGGCGACGAUCUUUAACUGGUCUGAGAGGAUGAUCAGUCACACUGGAAGUGAGACACGGUCCAGACUCCUACGGGAGGCAGCAGUAGGGAAUAUUGCACAAUGGAGGAAACUCUGAUGCAGCGACGCCGCGUGAGUGAUGAAGGCCUUCGGGUCGUAAAGCUCUGUCGCAGGGGAAUAACACAAUGAAGGUACCCUGUAAGAAAGGAGCGGCUAACUUCGUGCCAGCCGCCGCCGUAAAAC